GGAAAGGAUGAAGCUCAAUGGUAGAGCAUCUGCUUUAUAUGAAAAUAGCCCCAGGUUCAAUUGCUGGCAUCUCCA